CAUUGCAGGCAUACAUUCCUGCAAAAAAAUUAUAUUUUAAUGGUUUUUACUGAUGAAUGUAUACCUAGAGUUGUAUUAUUAUAAAGUGGAGAUUUAAAUUAUAAUUAUACUGAUAUAUAAUGAUUAAAAUUGUUUAAUUUCAGCAGUUGAUACUGAUUAAAAUAAGACAGUAUAUCCCAUGUAGUUCUUCUAUCACGUCAAUCGUCAUUAAAGAAGGAGCGUCGGUUUGUAUGCAUCUCACUCAUUGGGCAGACAUGCAUUCCUGCAGAUUUUUAUAUUUAAAUUAUUUUAAAUGUAUUUUACUGAUUUCUUUACCUGGAAAAAUUCAGCGCUUCUUUUUAGAGCUUUAUAAUGGAUUCGAAUGCAUGGAAUUAAAUGGAACACAAGUCAAAAUGUCUGGAAUAUGAAACAUAACCUUUGAUUUCCAGGCUGAGAGAAGUGUUCUCAAUAGUUCCAAAAGAAAUGCAAUAAACAUGAAAAAAUUGCCCAAAUCCCUGGAAUAAACUAAAAAAAGACCAAAUUUCUGGAAUACAGGUCUGAAUUUUAUUAUAUAGUCAUUGUUAUCUGCAUAAUCCAGAAAGAAAUAAUGGCUUCGGCCAAUAAUGGUGGUAUUUAGUAUGAGCUUUAAAAUGCCUGGAAUAAGCUGGAAAUUUAUGUUUAUUAAAUUUAUGUUAUUUAUUACAAAUGUGGCAAAAUUGUGGUGUUGCCUGGAAAUUGUAAGAAAUUGUUAAGGACACAAUGAAGUAUCUCAAUAAUUAAGAGAACAGAGCUUCAAAGAGUAAGGAGAAACUCGAUGCCUGGAAUACAAUUGGAAUUUUGUCAAAAUAUCUGGAAUGAACUGGAAAAUGAGUCUGGAAUAUGUAAACAAUUAUUUUCAAAGUCUAAGAACUAUGCCAACAGGGAAAUUACUUUAAAUCCCAAGAAUAAACUUGGAAUAAACCAAGAAAUGUCUUCAAAGUUUAGGACAAUCAACAAAAGUUCAGUUGCUGAAAAAAUAGACAAUUCCAGGAAUAUCCCAAUAGAUGAACCAGAAGUCUCCUGAAAAAUGUUGCAGAAAAUUGUUCUAAAAUUUGCAAAUUCAAAGUAUAUUCUUGUAUUUCAAUUGUCUGGAUUUAUAUGGAACCAAAUGCCUAAAAUAAAUUGAUAUACUCUUCAAA